rnacentral:rRNA from 1 species
GGUCCUAAGGUAGCGAAAUUCCUUGUCGGGUAAGUUCCGACCCGCACGAAAGGCGUAACGAUUUGGGCACUGUCUCAACGAGAGACUCGGUGAAAUCAUAGUACCUGUGAAGAUGCAGGUUACCCGCGACAGGACGGAAAGACCCCGUGGAGCUUUACUGUAGCCUGAUAUUGAAAUUCGGCACAGCUUGUACAGGAUAGGUAGGAGCCUUUGAAACGUGAGCGCUAGCUUACGUGGAGGCGCUGGUGGGAUACUACCCUAGCUGUGUUGGCUUUCUAACCCGCACCACUUAUCGUGGUGGGAGACAGUGUCAGGCGGGCAGUUUGACUGGGGCGGUCGCCUCCUAAAAGGUAACGGAGGCGCUCAAAGGUUCCCUCAGAAUGGUUGGAAAUCAUUCAUAGAGUGUAAAGGCAUAAGGGAGCUUGACUGCGAGACCUACAAGUCGAGCAGGGUCGAAAGACGGACUUAGUGAUCCGGUGGUUCCGCAUGGAAGGGCCAUCGCUCAACGGAUAAAAGCUACCCCGGGGAUAACAGGCUUAUCUCCCCCAAGAGUUCACAUCGACGGGGAGGUUUGGCACCUCGAUGUCGGCUCAUCGCAUCCUGGGGCUGUAGUCGGUCCCAAGGGUUGGGCUGUUCGCCCAUUAAAGCGGUACGCGAGCUGGGUUCAGAACGUCGUGAGACAGUUCGGUCCCUAUCCGUCGUGGGCGUAGGAAAUUUGAGAGGAGCUGUCCUUAGUACGAGAGGACCGGGAUGGACAUACCUCUGGUGUACCAGUUGUCGUGCCAACGGCAUAGCUGGGUAGCUAUGUGUGGACGGGAUAAGUGCUGAAAGCAUCUAAGCAUGAAGCCCCCCUCAAGAUGAGAUUUCCC